CUUAGAACGAACGCUGGCGGCGUGCUUAACACAUGCAAGUCGAACGCGAAAGGGACUUCGGUCCUGAGUAAAGUGGCGCACGGGUGAGUAACGCGUAGAUAACCUGUCUUCAUGUCUGGAAUAAUACGCCGAAAGGGGUACUAAUACCGGAUAUUCUUGCUUUUCAUAAGUUAUGCAAGCAAAGGUGGCCUCUGCAUGUGCUACUGCAUGAAGAGGGGUCUGCGUACCAUUAGCUAGUAGGUGGGGUAAUGGCCUACCUAGGCGACGAUGGUUAGCGGGUCUGAGAGGAUGAUCCGCCACACUGGCACUGGAACACGGGCCAGACUCCUACGGGAGGCAGCAGUGAGGAAUAUUGCGCAAUGGGGGAAACCCUGACGCAGCGACGCCGCGUGAGUGAGGAAGGCCUUCGGGUCGUAAAGCUCUGUCAAGAGGAAAGAAGUGUACAAUGGCUAAUACCUGUUGUAUUUGACGGUACCUCUAAAGGAAGCACCGGCUAACUCCGUGCCAGCCGCCGC
rnacentral:rRNA from 1 species